GACGAACGCUGGCGGCAGGCUUAACACAUGCAAGUCGAACGCAUCCUUCGGGGUGAGUGGCAGACGGGUGAGUAACGCGUGGGAACGUGCCCUUCAGAUCGGGAUAACCCAGGGAAACUUGGGCUAAUACCGGAUACGUGCGAGAGCAGAAAGAUUUAUCGCUGAAGGAUCGGCCCGCGUCUGAUUAGCUAGUUGGUGGGGUAAUGGCCCACCAAGGCGACGAUCAGUAGCUGGUCUGAGAGGAUGAUCAGCCACAUUGGGACUGAGACACGGCCCAAACUCCUACGGGAGGCAGCAGUGGGGAAUAUUGGACAAUGGGCGCAAGCCUGAUCCAGCCAUGCCGCGUGAGUGAUGAAGGCCUUCGGGGUGUAAAGCCCUUUCAGUGGGGAAGAUAAUGACGGUACCCGCAGAAGAAGCCCCGGCUAACUUCGUGCCAGCCGCCGCGGUAA
rnacentral:rRNA from 1 species